CUCCUCUCUUUGUGUGGGAAUAAACUUCCAAGGCAUUCCAUCAGCCACAUCAGCAUUAAAUUGCACAACAAUAUCCCUUGUGGUGACAGUUCCUUCUUUAGCAGCCGAGCAAUUUUCUCUUCAACGCUCUCCCGGCGCUGAAUGGUGCCUCCAUAGCCAGUAGCUUGGCAGAACCUUCGAUAAAGAGGAACAGCAGCAUAUGUACCCCCAACCAUUGCAAAAACCAAACCCG
rnacentral:misc_RNA from 1 species